rnacentral:rRNA from 1 species
ACGAAGGAUGCAAGCGUUAUCCGGAUUCAUUGGGUUUAAAGGGAGCGUAGGUGGACUUGUAAGUCAGUGGUGAAAUCUCUCAGCUUAACUGAGAAACUGCCAUUGAUACUGCAGGUCUUGAGUACAGAUGAUGUGGGCGGAAUAUGACAUGUAGUGGUGAAAUACUUAGAUAUGUCAUAGAACACCGAUUGCGAAGGCAGCUCACAAAACUGUAACUGACACUGAGGCUCGAAAGUGCGGGGAUCAAACAGG